CAUAAAUUUUUUUUUUUUUUUAGGAUUCUUUAAAUAUUUUAGUUUUUAAUUUUUAAAAUCUAAUCUAAUGCGCAUGCGCAGACUGUGCUGCGUGCGCCAAUUAAAUUAUGGAUCUUGCAACAAGAGAUGCAUUUUUUGAAUUCCCUGGAAAACUGCUUGGUCGCAUUUGAUUUGCAGUGAGGUGCACAGACCACAGACAACGUUAUCUAACUGAUGCUGAAGAGGAAAUUCCUCCAAGAACCAUACGAAGAUGGGCACUAAAAAAAAGGUGUGUAGAUAAUGUUAUUUCCCACUGCUAGCUAGAUUAACACUGUUUGCCUGUAAAUUAUUCCGCGCAGCUGUUCUGAUGGGUGUAUUUUUGUUUCUAGUGCUUAUGGUGCGAACAGUGUUGUCCCUAAUGAUUCAUAGUCGGUUCUUGUGAUUCCACAGAACAUAGCGUACUACAAGUGUACUCCGGCUCCCAAAUUAAUGACUCAAAGUUAUUGGCUCUUUUGAUCAGGGGACAUAGCGCGAGUAUGUCCGAUUCCUCUGCUUAUAGAAAGAAAAUCAUUAUUGUAUAAGUGAUUCCAACGACAGCAUUUAUCUGUGCUGUAAUCAUUAUAGUUGUGGUGUGAACUCUAUUCUUUUAAGUAUAGAAUGAUUCUUAAAACAUUUAUCGUUAUAGUUAUCGUCCUAAUCUUACGAGUGGCUCUUUUUAGUAAGUCAAAGGUUUAUGAAUCAGUUGGAGCUAAAUAACUUAAUUUCAAAACAGAAACUAAGGUGUUACUAUCAAGCAAGUAAAUAUAAAAAAUGAAGUGACAGCUUGGCACUUUUGGCCAGGUUUUGGAAGGUUUAAAGGCAGUAAACUUAGAAUUCUGUAAAAGCAGUAAGUGCUUAAAUUUUUCCUUUAUUUUAUAUUUUCUUUUUCUUUUUCAGAUUUAAGGCAGCAGAAGAACUUGAGAAUGUAAUCAAGGAAUGUCAUAAGGUAUGCUUCUUAAUAAUUGGUGAUUCACUAGUAAUUUGCACAGCUCACAUUUAACUUUUUUUUUUUUUUUUAUUAAUUAAAAGGGAUUGUUCACUCAAAAAUGAAAAUUGUCAUUUACUCACCCUCAAGUUGUUCUAAACCUGUAUUUUUUUUUUUUUCUGUUGAACACAAAAGAUGAUGUUUUGAAUAAUGUAGGUAACCAAACAGUUUGUUCCCUGUUGACUUCCUUAGUAUUUUUGUUUCAUACUAUGGAAGUCAGUGGGUGACGUCAACUGUUUGGUUACCUACAUUCUCAAGAAAUCACUAGGUAUUAAUGUAAAAAUCUUGGACAGCCGAUGUCAGAGUUGAUUUGGGCAAAACUGAAUAGACAUGCCAAAUAGUGCACUACGUCUAUCAUAAAUGCAGCCCACUAGGCUACAGUUCUGACAUCGAAAAGUUUUAUUGUGAUGUUAACGGGACCCAUAAUUCUCCUUUUUUUUUUUUUUUUUUUUUUUUUUUUUAAGCAAAUUCCAGACACCCUCCCAGAAGACAAUACUCAGCCAACUACUCCUGAUGAAGAGUGCACUUCCAGUCCUGUUCAGAUAGAGGUUCCAGUGGAUUCAGGUCAAACUAAAGAGCAAACCCAACUACUACUUCUGGCACUUAAGCUCAAACACAGUUUGACCAAUGAUUGUCUUGAAGAUAUUAUGAAAAUCCUAAAUGUUGUUGGUGGUAAUGAUUCGGUAUGCAAGACAAAAUACUCAUUUUACAAAGCUUUCGAUGAUACCAAAGACAUUAUGAGAAUCUGUUAUGUGUGUGAACAGUGCAAUAAUAUAAUGUCAGCUGGACUGGACCAUGUUCAUUGUGUUCAAUGCAACAUUACCCAUGACAAAGCCAGUAGGUUCACCAAUAAUUUUUUCAUAUACCUCUCCUUGGAAGAUCAAAUAAAAAAUCUUUUGAAAAUGCCAGGAAUUACAGAUGAAUUGGUACCAAGGCAAACAGAAACAUCAACAUCUGUCAGUGAUAUUUGUGAUGGUUUUUUGUACCAGAAAGCUUUAAGUUGUUCGGAUACGCCCCUUCAAACCCUUAACUUAACAUUUAGCUGUGAUGGUGUACCAGUUUUUAAAAAGUCCCCUUGUAGUAUUUGGCCUCUUAUGCACCAUUAAUGAGUUGCCAUUGAAAGUGAGACAGGAUAAUGUACUCCUUUGUGGACUGUGGUUUGGGGAUGAGAAGCCUCAAAUGAGAACAUUCUUAAAGCCUUUUGUAGAUGAAUGUGUAAAACUAGAGGACAGUGGUUUCACAUGGGAAAAGGACAAAGGUGUUUCUAUCAAUACAAAAGUAAUCCCUCUAGUUCUGAUGAGUGACUCAGUUGCCAGACCUCUAAUACAGAAUUUCAAACAGUUUAAUGGUGAAUAUGGCUGCUCCUAUUGCCUUCACAAAGGAAAAUUGGUUGAAAAGGGCAGAGGAUCUGCUCGUGUAUAUCCUUUUCAGAAAGACAUACAGCUCCGCAAUCAGGAACAAACUAAUGAAUUUGUAGAAGCUGUGCUAGAGUCAGGUCAGCCUGUUAUGGGUGUCAAAGGACCAAGUACAUUGUGUCGGCUUCCCAGUUUUGAUGUCAUUGAAGGGUCUGUCCCAGACUACAUGCAUUCAGUACUUCUGGGUGUUGCAAGAACUGUAACGGCUGUGGUUAAACAGUGAAAACCAUGAAAAGCACUGGUAUAUAGGUAGGUCUACAAAAUUGAUAGUUGAGUUACUUUUAAAGAUUAAACCGCCAUGUAAUGUACCUCGUGUGCCAAGAUCAGUCACAUUGAGGAAAUUCUGGGAAGCCCACGAGUGGUACAUGUGGCUCUUUUAUUAUAGCUUACCUGUACUAAAAGGUGUCUUGCCAGAACCACUACUGAAUCACUGGUCCAAACUAGUUAAGAGUGUAUCACUUCAUUUGGGUGAAAAUAUAACCAGAGGCCAGAUUACUGAGUCUGAGGCACUUCUGACAGAUUUUGUGAAAGACAUGGAGGUAUACAAUAGGGAAACCAAUAUGUCUUAUAAUGUCCAUCUUUGUCUCCAUUUACCAAGAAGUGUAGUUAACUGGGGGCCUUUGUGGGCUCACUCUGGUUGCACUACAGAUUGUCAAAACUUUUUGGUUACAAAAGGCUGUACCUUUUUAUGGUCAGACUAUCUUAAAAGAUGCCUCAAAUUAAUGCAAGGAGAUCUUUGAAACUCUGACAAGACCAAAACAGUUGAAACAUGUAACUCGCACACGUGAUAUCACUGCACUCGAUCGCCCUAAAGUGCGAUUACUUGGAAGAGAAGACUAUAUGGCACUGAGUCGUUAUGGGGUACAAAGAGGCAGGGUAAAGUACUUUCAACGAAUCAUUACAAAUGGCGAGGUGGUUCACUCAGAAGAAUACAGCCGUGUAUUUAAACGCAAUUCCUUCACUGUUCUGUUGAAUGAUGACGAUCAAAACUUUUUUAGGAUUAAAAGAUUCUUGAUUUGUCAAAAUGAAAAUGAAGAGAUGUGUUAUGCCAUUGGUAGAUUCUAUGAACGAGCAAAGAAUAGUCUCUGUGCCUCGAAUCCAAGUUACUUUGAACCAGUGUCAAAACAUCUUGGACAUCUUACAGCUAUUCCUGCUUCAGCUAUCAAAUGCAAAUGUCUAAUCAUUCACACUGAAAAACUCAAAGUUGAUUACAUUUUUAGAAAUAUUAAUCAGUGUGAAUUCCUUAAACGAGGCGUGAAAUAAAGCUAAGAGAGGCGUAAAUACGCAUGUUGUUCUUCAAUACAAUUUAAGCUUUUGUGUCAGUGUACAAUGUAUACAUUAUUGUAAUGUUUGUAAUAAGUGUUUUUAUCAUUUAAACUUUGACGAGGAAUUAAUGACAAAAAGCUAUGUGUACAUUACAAAAGCAGUGCGAUAUAUUAUGCAAUGUGGUAUAUUUUUGCAAAGUGAUUGUAAAGCAAUUUAUGUAAAUAAUUUAACUUUUUCAAUGUAUUUUGUUAGGCUUAUAUUUAUAACACUGUGUCUUCAUUAUCAUUUAAAAACCACAAACUUAAUCGAAUAUUUAAUGGCAAAAAGUCAAAUGUACGGUACAUUAGCAGUAUUAUAUAUUGUGCAUUGUUGUUGCUCUGUUUAUUUUAAACAGAAUAUUAUACCAAUGAUUUUAAUACUUUGUGUGUUACCAUUAAAGUGUUAUAUUGUAUCCCUUAAUGUCAAAAAAUUAAAGUGUACAUUGCAAUUUAGUGCAUUGUUGUUGUUCUGGUUCCUUUUCAAAACAUAUCAUACAGUACACUUACUGCCUUGUUAUCAUUAAAUGUCCUACUGUAUCCCUGACAGUUAAUGUCAAAGUCAACUGUACACUACAUUAGUAGUGAGGUAUUCUGUAAUGUGACAAGCAAAUAAAUAAACUUGAUCUGUUAUCUUA